rnacentral:rRNA from 1 species
AAAAAAGCAAAUAAGAGCAAACGGCGAAUGCCUUGGCUCUGGGAGGCGAUGAAGGACGUGAUAAGCUGCGAAAAGCUUGGGGGAGGUGCAAAUAACUGCAGAUCCCGAGAUAUCCGAAUGGGGCAACCCAGCACAGUGAAGCUGUGCUAUCCUGCAUAGCAGGAGGCGAACGUGGGGAACUGAAACAUCUUAGUACCCAUAGGAAAAGAAAACAAAAGUGAUUGCGUAAGUAGUGGCGAGCGAAAGCGUAAUAGCCCAAACCAAUUAUGUUGUCAAGCAUAAUUGGGGUUGUAGGACUGCAAAAUGUUAAUUUAAUACUGAACUAGAACCGUAAUGGAAAAUUGGACCGUAGAGGGUGAUAGUCCCGUACAGGCAAAGUAUUAAAUUGACAGCAGUAUCCUGAGUAGCGCGGGACACGAGGAAUCCUGUGUGAAUCUACCGGGACCAUCCGGUAAGGCUAAAUACUCCCCAGAGACCGAUAGUGAACCAGUACUGUGAAGGAAAGGUGAAAAGCACUUCAAAUAGGAGGGUGAAAUAGAACCUGAAACCGUUUGCUUACAAGCGGUCGGAGCCCCGAGCAAGUCGAGGGGUGACGGCGUGCCUUUUGCAUAAUGAACCUACGAGUUACUGUCAUUGGCAAGGUUAAGCACUUCAGGUGUGGAGCCGAAGCGAAAGCGAGUCUGAACAGGGCGUUAUAGUCAGUGGUAGUAGACGCGAAACCAAGUGAUCUACCCUUGAGCAGACUGAAGUUUGGGUAACGCCAAAUGGAGGGUCGUACCGGUAUACGUUGAAAAGUGUUCGGAUGACUUGAGGGUAGGGGUGAAAGGCCAAUCAAACUUGGAGAUAGCUCGUACUCCCCGAAAUGCAUUUAGGUGCAGCCUUGAUAUUAAGUUUACAGGAGGUAGAGCCACUGAUUGGAUGCGAGGGUUUCAACGCCUGUCAAGUCCAGAUAAACUCCGAAUGCCUGUAAAUGUUUAUCAGGAGUGAGGGCGCGGGUGCUAAGGCCCGUGUCCGAGAGGAGAAGAAUCCAGACCAUCAGCUAAGGUCCCGAAAUACAUGCUAAGUUGAAAAAAACGAGGUCAAACUACACAGACAGCUAGGAUGUUGGCUUGGAAGCAGCCAUUCAUUCAAAGAGUGCGUAACAGCUCACUAGUCGAGUGGUUAGGCGUGGUUAAUAAUCGGGCAUUAAGCAUGUUACCGAAGCUAUGGGAUUUUUAUAAUCGGUAGGGGAGCAUUCCAUUGCAGCAUCGAAGGUGUGAGGUAACUCAUGCUGGAGCGGAUGGAAGAGCAAAUGUAGGUAUAAGUAACGAUAAAGGGGGUGAGAAACCCCCUCGCCGAAAGACUAAGGUUUCCUGAUCAACGAUAAUCGGAUCAGGGUAAGUCGAGGCCUAAGAAGUAGCCGAAAGGCGAAUUCGAAGGAAGAACAGGUUAAUAAUCCUGUACUACUGUAUGAAGCGAUGCGGGGGAAAAGUAGUGACAACUCUGCGACCUGACGGAAUAGGUCGUUGAAGGGUGUAGGUAUUGAGAAGAAUAGGUAAGUCCGUUCUUUGAGCCGAACCUGAUAGUACCGAGCGUACUUGUACAAUCGGAUAAUGAGUGUAAUCAGACUUUCAAGAAAAUCCGCUAAGCAAUAAUUUAUACAGUACUCGUACUGUAAACGGACACACGUAGUUGAGUAGAGCAUACUAAGGCGCUCGAGAGAUUCACAGCUAAGGAACUAGGCAAAAUGGUCCCGUAACUUAGGGAGAAGGGACGCUUCCUCAUGCGAAUGAGAAGCCGCAGAGAAAUGGCCCAGGCGACUGUUUAUCAAAAACACAGGGCUUUGCCAAAAUGAAAAUUGAAGUAUAAGGCCUGACACCUGCCCGGUGCUGGAAGGUUAAGAGGAGAAGUUAGCCUGUUGAAGGCGAAGCUUUGAAUUGAAGCCCCAGUAAACGGCGGCCGUAACUAUAACGGUCCUAAGGUAGCGAAAUUCCUUGUCGGGUAAGUUCCGACCUGCACGAAUGGUGUAACGAUCUGGGCGCUGUCUCAGCUGUGAUCUCGGUGAAAUUGUAGUAUCGGUGAAGAUGCCGAUUACCCGCAACGGGACGGUAAGACCCCGUGAACCUUUACUAUAGCUUUACAUUGGAUUUGGGCAUUUGAUGUGUAGGAUAGGCCGGAGGCUGUGAAGCAGUGGCGCUAGCUGCUGUGGAGCCGUCGUUGAAAUACGGCCCUUCAAGUGUCUGACUUCUAAUCUGGUGGUUAUCAGAGACAGUGUAUGGUGGGUAGUUUGACUGGGGUGGUCGCCUCCAAAAGAGUAACGGAGGCUUCCAAAGGUGCGUUCAGACCGAUUGGUAACCGGUCGUAGAGUGCAAUGGCAUAAGCGCGCUUGACUGAGAGACAAACAAGUCGAACAGGUAGGAAACUAGGGCAUAGUGAUCCGGUGGUUCUGUAUGGAAGGGCCAUCGCUCAAAGGAUAAAAGGUACUCCGGGGAUAACAGGCUGAUCAUUCCCAAGAGCUCAUAUCGACGGGAUGGUUUGGCACCUCGAUGUCGGCUCGUCACAUCCUGGGGCUGGAGAAGGUUCCAAGGGUUGGGCUGUUCGCCCAUUAAAGUGGCACGCGAGCUGGGUUCAGAACGUCGUGAGACAGUUCGGUCCCUAUCUGUUGUGGGCGUAGGAAAUUUGCGGAGGUCUGACACUAGUACGAGAGGACCGUGUUGGACGAACCUCUGGUGUACGGGUUGUUUCGCCAGGAGCACUGCCCGGUAGCUAAGUUCGGUUAGGAUAAGUGCUGAAAGCAUCUAAGCACGAAGCCGGCUUCAAGAUGAGAUUUCCAAUUAAGGGUCGUGGGAGACUACCACGUUGAUAGGUUACAGGUGGAAGGCAGAAAUGCGCGAGCCGAGUAAUACUAAUAACCCAAGAGCUUUUUUGU